UGACGCCAAGGCGCCCCCGACCGCCUGCUACGCGGGGGCCGCGCCGGCGCCCUCGCAGGUCAAGAGCAAGGCCAAGAAGACCGUGGACAAGCACAGCGACGAGUACAAGAUCCGGCGCGAGCGCAACAACAUCGCCGUGCGCAAGAGCCGCGACAAGGCCAAGAUGCGCAACCUGGAGACGCAGCACAAGGUCCUGGAGCUCACGGCCGAGAACGAGCGGCUGCAGAAGAAGGUGGAGCAGCUGUCGCGCGAGCUCAGCA
rnacentral:lncRNA from 1 species